CUAGAUCAGUUAUGCUUUUUCAUAACUGCCAUUUUUUAUAGGGUAGUGCUAAAAAAUCUAGUACUUUGGUUUAUUACAUUCACAUCAGAAUGACCUACACCCUUCUCAGUUUGGGUGCAUGAGAGUAACUGUAGGUGUCUGUUCAUAUUUUUUAUGUUUCUUUGCAGAAGAAUUGUUCUACUCUGCACAGCUCUGUCCUGCAUGAGGAGCCAUCAAUGAUUUUGUUGUGGUUAUUUCAUAUGAAAAUGGGAGAAAACAACAGCUUCUUUCACACUCAAAUGUAAAGUAGAGGUGAAAGGAAAGGUUUAGUUUCAGUAACCUUUGCUGCUUCAGCUAUUUGCACUAAUGGGGGUAAGGUGCUUGGCUGCAACUGUUUUUGCUUUUGAAGACAGUGCCUCAUCCUGUCUCCCUUUGGGGCUGGGGACUGGGUAGAGGGCUUGCUCUGACUGCAGGGCAUCUGUCUGCUUUCACCUGUAAUCAAAAGACUGAUGUACCACACCCAGGCUCUGAUGAGAGCUGUCUUCCUUCAGUGCAGCAGACCCCAGGGAGGUGUGGAUGGAGUUCUGAGUGUCAGGUAUCUCAUCAACUUGGAGGUAAUGGAAUACCUACAGGAUACAGACAUAAAAUAAGUAUGAUAGCAUUUUAUUUGAUAUUAAUGAUUUUACUGGAUCAUAUAAUUACUGGAAUGGUUAUGUACUCCUUGGCAUUAAUGGAAGAGUGUGUUCUAUGAAACAGCAACACAGCUCUAAAAACCCCCUACACUCAAUCAUAUUGCUUUGCAAAGCAAAUGAGUGUACCUGUGCCUUCCAAUUAAAUUGUAUUGUGGGUGGAAUAAUUAAUUUGGACACAAGGCAAGGAGCACAUUGCAUAUAUUGUUGUUAUUGUUGUUGUUGUUGUUAACAACUGUUGACUGGGGAGUGCCCAGGUUAAUAUUAUAUCUGUUUUUCCUGCUUUACACCCUUGUGCAUGGCAUGGAUGCAACAGUUUUCUCCUACAGAUCCUCCCCCUCACCAAACAGUCAAUUCUGG
rnacentral:lncRNA from 1 species